rnacentral:rRNA from 1 species
CAGUAGCCGCGGGAAUACAGAGGGUGCGAGCGUUAAUCGGAUUUACUGGGCGUAAAGCGUGCGUAGGCGGCUUUUUAAGUCGGAUGUGAAAUCCCUGAGCUUAACUUAGGAAUUGCAUUCGAUACUGGGAAGCUAUAGUAUGGGAGAGGAUGGUAGAAUUCCAGGUGUAGCGGUGAAAUGCGUAGAGAUCUGGAGGAAUACCGAUGGCGAAGGCAGCCAUCUGGCCUAAUACUGACGCUGAGGUACGAAAGCAUGGGGAGCAAACAGGAUUAGAUACCCGCGUAGUCCCUGUCUCUUAUAC